GACGAACGCUGGCGGCGUGCUUAACACAUGCAAGUCGAGCGGUAAGGCUCCUUCGGGAGUACACGAGCGGCGAACGGGUGAGUAACACGUGAGCAAUCUGCCCUUCACACGGGGAUAACCCUCGGAAACGAGAGCUAAUACCCGAUACGACCACUUCAGGCAUCUGAAGGUGGUGGAAAGUUCCGGCGGUGAAGGAUGAGCUCGCGGCCUAUCAGCUUGUUGGUGGGGUAACGGCCCACCAAGGCAACGACGGGCAGCCGGCCUGAGAGGGUGACCGGCCACACUGGGACUGAGACACGGCCCAGACUCCUACGGGAGGCAGCAGUGGGGAAUAUUGGACAAUGGGCGAAAGCCUGAUCCAGCAACGCCGCGUGAGGGAUGACGGCCUUCGGGUUGUAAACCACUUUCAGCAGGAACGAAAUUGACGGUACCUGCAGAAGAAGCACCGGCCAACUACGUGCCAGCAGCCGCGGUAA
rnacentral:rRNA from 1 species